UACGAAGGGGGCUAGCGUUGCUCGGAUUGACUGGGCGUAAAGGGCGCGUAGGCGGAUAGUACAGUCAGGCGUGAAAUUCCUGGGCUCAACCUGGGGACUGCGUUUGAUACGUAUUGUCUGGAGUUCGGAAGAGGGUCGUGGAAUUCCCAGUGUAGAGGUGAAAUGCGUAGAGAUCGGAAAGAACACCAACGGCGAAAGCACUCUGCUGGGCCGACACUGACACUGAGAGACGAAAGCUAGGGGAGCGAAUGGG
rnacentral:rRNA from 1 species